GGGCUCACACAAGCGGUGGAGGAUGUGGCUUAAUUCGAGGCUACGCGAAGAACCUUAUCCUAGAUUUGACAUGCUUGAGAAUUUCUUCGAAAGAAGAAAGUGCCCCUCGGGGAGCUUUUGCACAGGUGCUGCAUGGCUGUCGUCAGCUCGUGUCGUGAGAUGUCGGGUUAAGUCCCUUAACGAGCGAAAACCCCUUAUCUCUAGUUGCCAGCGGGUAAUGCCGGGGACUCUAGAGAGACUGCCGGUGUCAAACCGGAGGAAGGUGGGGAUGACGUCAAGUCCUCAUGGGCCUUUAUGUCUAGGGCUGCACACGUCCUACAAUGGUACGGACAAACGGACGCUAAACCCGCGAGGUG
rnacentral:rRNA from 1 species